ACCAUCGGUCCGCCUCCUCUUGUAAACUCCUGAUCCUCGUCUGGUGGACAUGGUACUUGACAAAUGCAAUAUCCAAAGCCACUUCUCAGAACACGCUCGUGUUACGGACACGGUCUUUGACACGGGAACGUGUUGUGGACACGGCAGGGCAUAAAUUCCCGUGUUAGCUUCUGUGAACGUGUUCAUCUUAGUUUGAUUUUCUUCAAUUAGAACACGAUCCGUGUUAAUGAACACGGUCUUGAACACGCCUGUGUUU
rnacentral:lncRNA from 1 species